AUUUUUUAAAAUUUUAUUUUAUAAACACCUUUUUUCUCGUGAACGAAAAGCAUAACCCAAAUUUUCAGCUUAGGUGAUUGAAAUUUUUGAUUAACUUGAUAAAAGGGAGCGAAAAAAAUGGUUCCUUUAUUUUUAUCUGAGCCAAACUGGGAUGAUGAAGCUGGUGAUAAUGAAACUGCCCAUCAGAUAAUAUCGCUUUUAAAUCAAUUGGGUUCAGUUAUUUGGUCACUGAUGAUCUCUGGAGGUCGUUCUGAGGCUCGGCUAUGGCUUUGCAAUGCCGUUUCGAGCAUAAGUUCCAUUUCUCCUCACCAACAGAGAGAGAUUUUUAUGAAGCUGUUGACAUCCAAGCCAACAAGAAGGGGUUUAGCAUCUCAACUGUUGCAAUUGGUUUUUGAGAAGAGGCCAAGAAAAGCUGGCUCUAUCUUGGCCAACAAAAGUUACUUGCUUGAAAAGUUUUUCCAAGGGAACCCAAAGCGAAUAAUGCAAUGGUUCGCUAAUUUUGGAGAUGGAGGUGGAUUGGAGCACAAAAAAGGUGCAAAGGCAUUGUCUCAAUUUGCUUUUGUAAAUCGGGAUAUCUGUUGGGAGGAGCUUGAGUGGAAGGGAAAGCAUGGGCAAUCACCUGCAAUGGUUGCAACAAAGCCUCAUUACUUUCUUGACUUAGAUGUCCAACGAACAGUGGAAAAUUUCCUUGAAAAUGUGCCUGAAUUUUGGUCAUCCAGUGAGUUUGCUGAGUCACUAAAAGAUGGUGAGAUUCUAUUCAUGGAUACGAAGUUCUUUGUGGAACUUUUUGUUGAGUUAAUAUAUAAGGAGGAUUUAAGAGAUUUAUGGGAAGUCAUAAGUGAGUUUCUUAAGGAGGAAUCGUUCUCAUCAUUGUGCCAUCACCUUCUUAUCUCUCUUGAGGAGGGUGAAUUCUGCAUCUUUCUGGAAUUGCUUCGUAGAUAUAUCAAUCCAAGGAUGGAACCUAAGAAUUUUGGUAAUCCAUCUUACCUCCUGGAGUUUAUACUUUAUAAGUGUGGUGAUUCUAAAUCUUUUGAGAAGCUACUUCUGUUUAAUGCUAUUAUCAAUGAAAGGAGACAGCUUCUUCGGCUUGUAGAUGAUGAAGAGUGUCAGGAUGAAAAUGAGCAGGUCAAAGAUAUUGUAUCACAGAUGUGCAAACUCUCCACUAGUGCGAAUACUUUGACUUCAAUCCUUAAGGAGUGCUUCAAAACAAAAACCAUAGAAGCAAUGAAAUUGUUAGGGCUCUAUUCUUGGGUUAUUUAUUACAGAUUGUCAAAGGAAUGCCAUAUGCUGGGAUCCUGGGAAUCUAUAUUUGUGAGUAAUGGGAUAAGUUACCACAGAUCUGAUAAAUAUUCUAUACUUCAUCAUGAAGGCUCUGUAGAAGAAAGUGAUUCUGCAGAAGAUGAUAGAGCGACAAUUAAGCGUAGAAAGAAAAAGAAAAGCAAAAAGAAGCGAAAAAGGGACUUUGAUCAUGAUGAUAGCUAUGACAAUGGGCUGCUGGAUUUUGAUACUUCAGAUAGCAUGUUGGGGUUACAAUCUGGCGGUGGAAGUUGGUUGCUAUCUAUUGAUGAUUUUUCUACAUCAUGGACUAAUGUCGAUUUACCAGAGCACCUUUCAAAUUACUGCUUGUCUACAUGGAUUAAGUGGCUUUUUUCCAAAUGGAGUAACGUUGCUAAUGCUUGGUAGGAGAGCACAUCCCUUCUUUGUUAUGUAAUGUCUUUUAUUUGUGAAGCUUAUAGAUGUGUGCCUUUAUAAUCAGACAGAUAUUACUAUUCCCUGUCUAAAGCCCUGAUUGAGAGCACUUAGCCGAGCAAUGGGAGGGGCUCCCCACUUCACUUGUCCUCUGAUUUUUCAAUGGACCCAUACCAUGUUCUCAGACAGGCACUAAAACAGUGAUCUUUUAUAUAUGUACAAAAGCAGGAAAGCACAGCCAGGUUUUAGUGUUGAUGGUUAUUCCUAACAUAUUCUGCUAAUUUGAUAUCGCUGAUGGAACCUCACUGUGGGGUUUAGUUAUUGCCAUUUUCUCUUGAAAGGUAUCAUAUAAAGCUUAAUUUCUUCC